rnacentral:rRNA from 1 species
CAAGGUUUCCGUAGGUGAACCUGCGGAAGGAUCAUUGUCGAUACCUUGUCGUAUGACCCGCGAACAAGUUUAAUCACCGCGGAAGGAGCCCUGUGCUCCUGAAGCAAGGCCCGUGGGGUGCUAUGCUCCUUGCGGAAGCCACGUAAACAAACCCCGGCGCGGAAAGCGCCAAGGAAAAUGAACAGAAAAGCGAGAUCUCUACAAUCACCUCGGAAACGAUGUGUGCAUGGUAGUUGUUUCUCCUUUCAUAACCAAAACGACUCUCGGCAACGGAUAUCUCGGCUCUCGCAUCGAUGAAGAACGUAGCGAAAUGCGAUACUUGGUGUGAAUUGCAGAAUCCCGUGAACCAUCGAGUCUUUGAACGCAAGUUGCGCCCAAAACCCUCGGGUCGAGGGCACGUCUGCCUGGGUGUCACGCAACGUCGCCCCAUCACUCCCCUCAUGCGGGACUCGUGAAAUUGGGGCGGAAAUUGGCCUCCCGUGAACUUMAAGAUCGUGGUUGGCCCAAACAUGAGACCAUGUCGGUCAAUGCCGUGGCAUUCGGUGGUUGAAAAUACCCUCACAACGCCUCGUUCAUUGGCCGUACUACAAGGAUCUCACCGACCCUACUUAUCCGACGCGACCCCAGGUCAGGCGAGAUUACCCGCUGAGUUUA